AAAAUGCGAUACUUGGUGUGAAUUGCAGAAUCCCGUGAACCAUCGAGUUUUUGAACGCAAGUUGCGCCCGAAGCCAUCCGGCUGAGGGCACGCCUGCCUGGGCGUCACGCAUCGCGUCGCUCCCCACCAUACCUCCCCAACGGGUUGGCAUGGUGUUGGGGGCGGAUAAUGGCCUCCCGUGCUUGUGUUUCGGUUGGCCUAAAUAAGAGUUCCCUUCGGCGGACACACGACUAGUGGUGGUUGAAUAGACCCUCGUCUUUUGUUGCGUGUCGUGAGCUGUAAGGGUAGCCCUCAUCAAAGACCCCAUUGUAUCGUCUUCGGAUGAUGCUUCGACCGCGACCCCAGGGCAGGCGGGACAACCCGAUGAGUUUAAGCA
rnacentral:misc_RNA from 1 species